AAUAUUGGACAAUGAGCCAAAGCCUUAUCCAUCCAUGCCGCGCGUGUGCAGAAGUUCUUCGGAUUGUAUAGCCCUUUAAGUCGGGAGGAGGGGGUUGAAUCUAAUACCUUCAAUCUCUGACGUUACCAACAUAAUAAGCACCGGCUAACCCUGUGCCAGCAGCCUCGGUAAUACAGAGGGUGCAAGCGUUAAUCGGAAUUACUGGGCGUAAAGCGCGCGUAGGUGGUUCAGUAAGAUGGAAGUGAAAUCCCCGGGCUUAACCUAGGAACUGCUUUCAUAACUGCUGAGCUAGAGUACGGUAGAGGGUAGUGGAAUUUCCUGUGUAGCGGUGAAAUGCGUAGAUAUAGGAAGGAACACCAGUGGCGAAGGCGACUACCUGGACUGAUACUGACACUGAGGUGCGAAAGCGUGGGGAGCAAACA
rnacentral:rRNA from 1 species